rnacentral:rRNA from 1 species
GAGCGGGGACCACCCCGUAAGCCUAAAUACUACUUAGUGACCGAUAGCGCAUAGUACUGUGAAGGAAAGGUGAAAAGGACCCCGGGAGGGGAGUGAAAGAGAACCUGAAACCCUGUGUUUACAAGCUGUGGAAGUUCUUUAAAUGAACAACCGCGUACUUUUUGUAGAACGGUCCGGCGAGUUGCGGAUACUGGCAAGGUUAAGCACUUAAGGUGCGGAGCCGAAGGGAUACCAAGUCUUAACAGGGCGUUAAGUCAGUAUACGCAGACCCGAAACCGGGUGAUCUAUCCAUGUCCAGGUUGAAGUUGUCGUAAAAGACAAUGGAGGACCGAAGCCACAUCCGUUGAAAAGGGUGGGCAUGAGGUGUGGAUAGGGGAGAAAUUCCAAUCGAACCCGGAGAUAGCUGGUUCUCCUCGAAAUAGCUUUAGGGCUAGCCUCGAUUUAGUCUUAUGGAGGUAGAGCACUGAAUUUCCGCGGGGGCGUCAAAGCUUACCAAAGAAUAUCAAACUCCGAAUGCCAUGUAGAUGAUGAUCGGGAGUCAGACUGCACGAGAUAAGUUGGGCAGUCAAAAGGGAAAGAGCCCAGA